UCCUCAUCCCAGAAGGCAGCACAGAGGACUAUCUGGUUGGCUGGCUCCAAAAGGCACAGGAGGUCCUUUCUUAACAAAAACUGACCCAGUGCCAGAAUAUUCUUUGUCUGUCAUUCUUUGAGAUUAUUUUAUAAAACAUCAAGUCUCCAUAUGCACCAUACGUGCGUGCAAUUUGGGCAAUGAGCAGCUGUAGGGAGAAAGGAAAGAAUGGGUUUUUGGACCUCCUACCUGCUGUGAAGUCACAGCACCUGACACCACCCUUAACUACACUGUGGAAGGGAGCCCAAGGAACUAAGAGCAAGGCUGCAGAGGAAAGACUGGUUCUUGGUUGAUAUUAAAGAAUAAGUCUCUGCUUUAAUGGCAACAGAUUGGAGGGCCCAGACCAGUAAAGAGUUGGGCAGGCUUUAAUUGAUUCAUGUUAGUAACAGGGACUGUGUGCAUUAAUAAAACAAAACCAGGUGUCGGAGGAGCUUCAUCUACGCUCCAUCCAGUCCCUCUGACACUGACUCUCACCUAAACUGGCUCCUCUGGUUAUACCCACAGCAAAUAGAAACCUGCAGCAUAGCUGCAGUCCAGUGGUCACCAUUAAUAACACACAUGUUUAUAUCCAUGCCCAGGCUAGGAGGAGGGAGAAGUGGCCGGGUUAGGAAUUCAGCCUGCAGAGGGAAAAUGCUGAAGAAUGGGCAGUUUGUUGUUUAGUGAAAGACCAGUCUAAUGUGGAUCGUCAGUUAAUCUACAGCGUCUGUGGAAAGACCCAUGCUUACUGAAUCGUGGUGACACGAUUCACCAAUAAGGUGUAGCUGGCAUCAACCUACAAUUACCUGGAAAAUCGAAACAGACAAAUUAAAAACCCGCAAAAUCACUGGUGCCCAAGCUUCUACUUCACUGUUUUAAAAUCAAAAGAUAUUCUUUUAUGAAGUCCCUCGGUAAAAUGAGAAUAUCAGAAAAGUGCUUACCACUUAAAAUGUCCUUUGACUGCAAAAUAUUAAGAGUCAUACAACUUGACUUUUGAAAUUACUAUAACACUGACUCCAGAAGAGUGUUGAAGUAAAAAGGAACAACAACAACAACAACAAAUCAAGACAGCUAGAAAAGCAUGGCUGGACAUCUCUAGUGCAGAGGAGGCAUGUUGACACAAGUACUGUUCCUCCACAGAACUCAAGAACAACUCUAAGGAUGACAAGGAACAAUGUGAAGUUCCUGCACAGUGCCACUUGGCAACAUUUAAAAAAAAAUUUAUUCCCAGAGGACAUGAGAUGCUGGGUCAAUGAAGACUGAAAGUGACACAGGGAACCACUAGGACAUCCCUUGGGACAGAGUGAAGCUGGAGCUCCUAUUUCCCAUUCAAGGCAGAGGCUCAUCCAGA
rnacentral:lncRNA from 1 species